AACGAACGCUGGCGGCAGGCUUAACACAUGCAAGUCGAGCGCGUAGCAAUACGAGCGGCAGACGGGUGAGUAACGCGUGGGAAUCUACCCAACCCUACGGAAUAACGCAUGGAAACGUGUGCUAAUACCGUAUACGCCCUUCGGGGAAAGAUUUAUCGGGGAUGGAUGAGCCCGCGUUGGAUUAGCUAGUUGGUGGGGUAAAGGCCUACCAAGGCGACGAUCCAUAGCUGGUCUGAGAGGAUGAUCAGCCACAUUGGGACUGAGACCACGGCCCAAACUCCUACGGGAGGCAGCAGUGGGGAAUAUUGGACAAUGGGCGCAAGCCUGAUCCAGCCAUGCGCGUGAGUGAU
rnacentral:rRNA from 1 species